GACGAACGCUGGCGGCGUGCUUAACACAUGCAAGUCGAACGGAAAGGCCCUGCUUUUGUGGGGUGCUCGAGUGGCGAACGGGUGAGUAACACGUGAGUAACCUGCCCUUGACUUUGGGAUAACUUCAGGAAACUGGGGCUAAUACCGGAUAGGAGCUCCUGCUGCAUGGUGGGGGUUGGAAAGUUUCGGCGGUUGGGGAUGGACUCGCGGCUUAUCAGCUUGUUGGUGGGGUAGUGGCUUACCAAGGCUUUGACGGGUAGCCGGCCUGAGAGGGUGACCGGCCACAUUGGGCCUGCGAUACGGCCCAGACUCCUACGGGGGGCAGCAGUGGGGAAUAUUGCACAGUGGGCGGAAGCCUGAUGCAGCAACGCCGCGUGCGGGAUGACGGCCUUCGGGUUGUAAACCGCUUUCGCCUGUGACGAAGCGUGAGUGACGGUAAUGGGUAAAGAAGCACCGGCUAACUACGUG
rnacentral:rRNA from 1 species